rnacentral:rRNA from 1 species
CUGACGGCUCAGUAACACGUGGAUAAUCUACCCUAAGGUGGAGGAUAACCUCGGGAAACUGAGAAUAAUACUCCAUAAGUCUAGGAUACUGGGAUGUACUUAGGCUGAAAACUUCGGUGCCCUAGGAUGAGUCUGCGGACUAUCAGGUUGUAGUCAGGGUAAAGACCUGACUAGCCUACAACGGAUACGGGUUGUGAGAGCAAUAACCCGGAGACGAUAUCUGAGACACGAUAUCGGGCCCUACGGGGCGCAGCAGGCGCGAAAACUUCACACUGUGCGAAAGCACGAUGAGGGAAUCCCAAGUGCUUGCUCGUAAGAGUAAGCUGUUUUUAUGUCUAAAAAGCAUAGAGAGUAAGGGCUGGGUAAGACGGGUGCCAGCCGCCGCGGUAAUACCUGCAGCUCAAGUGGUGACCACUAUUAUUGGGCCUAAAACGUUCGUAGCCGGUUUAUUAAAUGCUUGGGUAAAUCGUGUAGCUUAACUAUACGAAUUCCGGGUAGACUGAUAGACUUGAGACCGGGAGAAG